CAAUCUGAUCCACAGAUCUUGCAUCUUCAAAUGAAAUUAGAGAAAAUUUCCAAAUCAAGGCAUACCCCUCAGCUGUCACUCAUCUCUUCUCCUUUGCAUCCGGCUUGGUCUCCUCUCCUUUACAUAUGGCCUGGUCUGUUGGUCAGCACCGCAUCCGGCCUAGUUUCCUCUUCUUUGCAUCUGGCAUGCUCUCUUCUCCUUUGCAACCAGCUGCUCUGCUGGUCAGCAGUCAGCACCGUAUCCAGCCUUGUCUGUUGGUUAGCAUCGCCGGUCCGCUACCUGACCUACCUCCCCGUGGUACAUGGCUUCUUCAAAUGAGAAGACUAUUUCAUCAUCAAGUGGAAAAAGUGAUCCAUGUUGGAAAUAUGUUCAAUGCAUUAAUCCAAACAACAAGAAUGAUUUGAAAUGCAACUUUUGUAAUAAAGUUACAAAAGGGGGAAUAUUUAGAGCUAAACAACAUAUUGUGGGACGUUUUAGAAAUACAAGCAUUUGUCAAAGAUGCCCACCACCUGUGCGAGAAGAGAUUCAGUCUUAUAUGACAAAUAAGGCUAACGCAAGCAAGAUGUUUGAAGGUAAUUUUCCGGAUAAUAUUAUUGAAGUAGAUGCUUUUGGUGGUGAUGAAGAAGAUGAAGACGAAAAAACCAUUUUGAUGAGCUCGCGCCAAGGAACUAGUAAAAUUUUGAAUGCAAAGAAACGACAAUGACAAAAAAGGCCAAUAGAUUUAUACUUCACACAAAGUGCUAAAAAAUCAAGUAAAAGAGAAGGAAAUAUGAAGCAAACAACAAUCAAUGAUACUUGCAAGAAGGAGAUGCAGGAAAAAGCAUGUAGAGAAAUAGCCCGAUGGUUGUAUGAUGCAGCAAUUCCAUUUAAUGCCAUUAAAUAUCCUCAAUUUCAAGUAAUGAUCGAUGCAAUUGGUCAAUAUGGUAUAGGCAUGAAAGCACCUAACCACCAUGAGGUCCGCAUCUCCUUGCUUAAUAAAGAAAUGGAAGAUGGCAAAAAGAUACUACAAUCAUAUGAAGAAGAAUGGGCACAUUAUGGUUGCUCUAUAAUGGCUGAUGGUUGGACAAACAAGAGGAAUAGGACAUUGAUAAAUUUUUUGGUGAAUUCUCCAAAAAGAACUGUGUUCUUAGAAUCUAUUGAUGCUUCCAGUUAUGUGAAAACUGGAGAAAAAAUGUUUAAGUUGCUUGAUCACAUGAUCCAACGUGUCGGAGAGAAAAAUGUCAUACAAAUAGUUACUGAUAGCACAUCCGUUAAUGUCUUUACAGGUAAGCGCUUGGAAGAAAAAUAUAAGAAUUUGUUUUAGACUCCUUAUGCCGCACAUUGUUUGGAUUUAAUUUUGGAAGAUAUUGGUAAGAUGCCAAAUGUGAAAAGAACUGUACAAAAAAGAGCAAUCAACUUAAACUCCUUCAUUUAUGUUGGACCAGGCAUGGUUACUAUGUAUGUUAAGGAGUUUUACCAGUCAAAGAGAAUUUGUUAGGCCGGGUGUUACAAGGUUUGCCACGGCUUUUCUCACACUUCAACUAAUCCAUAAAUUGAAGAAUUGUUUAAGGAAAAUGUUUACUUCUGAAGAAUGGGAAAAGAGUAAGUGGUCAAAGGAAAUUGCCGGGAAAAAAGCACAAGCUAGUAUAAUGAUGACAAGAUUUUGGACAAGCAUUGUAUAUAUUUUAAAGAUUUUCGGUCCUCUAGUUGGUGUGCUUCGAUUGGUUGAUGGUGAGAAAAAAACUGCUAUGGGAUACAUUUAUGAAGCCAUGGAUAGGGUCAAGGAAGCUAUAGUAAAGUCGUUUGGAGAAAAUGAAGAACAAUACAAAGAUGUGUUUGAUAUCAUCCACAAACGAUGGGAAUGUCAACUUCAUCGACCUUUGCAUGCGGCUGGGCACUAUCUUAAUCCGGAAUUUUUUUAUGCCAACCCAAUGGAGAUUAUCAGGACUAGUGAGAUAAUGGAUGGAGUGCUUGAAACUCUAGGGAGAUUGGUUCUUGAUGCUUCAUGUCAAAACAAAAUCAACAAUCAAAUGAAUAUAUAUCAAAAUGCGGGUGGCAUAUUUGGAAGAAACUUGGCAAUUAGGAAUCGAAGUUUGAAAUCACCAGGUACGUAAGUUUUGUUAUAAAUUGAUAAGAUUUAACUUAUACUUUUGUGUAACUAACUUUGUUAUUAAUUAAUUUCAUUAAUUGCCGAAUGGUGGAAAUCUUAUGGAGCCUCAACUCCAGAGUUGCUAGAUUUUGCAAUCAAAGUGCUCAGUCUAACUUGUAGCGCAUCCGGUUGCGAGCAUAAUUGAAGUAUUUUUGAACAUGUUCAUACUUAAAAAAAGGAAUAGAUUUGAUCAACAAAAGUUGAAUGAUUUGGUCUUCGUGAAAUAUAACCGAGCACUAAAGUGUCGAUAUGAUGACCGUGAUCGCAUUGACCCCAUUUCUUUAUAAGAUAUUAAUGAUGCAAAUGAGUGGUUGAUGGGUACGCUAGAACAAGAGCAAGGAGACAACGAACUAGUGUUUGGUGAUGAUGACCUUACUUGGGAUGCAGUUGAAAGAACGGCGGGGGUUGAUGAAAACACAUAUACUACUCAAGGUCGAGAAAAAGGAAAAGGAAUAAAUACUACUGCUUCAAGUUCAAGGCCAUCAAAGGAGAAAGAGAAGGCAAUGAAGCCAUCAUUUGCUAGUUUGAGAACCCCCUUAAUUUCUAGAGAUGGCAAUGAUGAGGAAGAAAAUCUUGGAGAUGACUAUUUUAAUGAAGAGAAUGAUGAAUUUGAAGAGAAAUUUGAUGGAGUUGGUGAUGAUGAUGAUUAUGAAGCACUUGAUGGUUUUGAAUAAUUUGAUGAUGAAAGUGAUUAGUGGCUAGAUUUUUAUUAUGA